AGAGUUUGAUCCUGGCUCAGAUUGAACGCUGGCGGCAGGCUACACAUGCAAGUCGAGCGGUAGAGAGGUGCUUGCACCUCUUGAGAGCGGCGGACGGGUGAGUAAUACCUAGGAAUCUGCCUGGUAGUGGGGGAUAACGUUCGGAAACGGACGCUAAUACCGCAUACGUCUACGGGAGAAAGCAGGGGACCUUCGGGCCUUGCGCUAUCAGAUGAGCCUAGGUCGGAUUAGCUAGUUGGUGAGGUAAUGGCUCACCAAGGCUACGAUCCGUAACUGGUCUGAGAGGAUGAUCAGUCACACUGGAACUGAGACACGGUCCAGACUCCUACGGGAGGCAGCAGUGGGGAAUAUUGGACAAUGGGCGAAAGCCUGAUCCAGCCAUGCCGCGUGUGUGAAGAAGGUCUUCGGAUUGUAAAGCACUUUAAGUUGGGAGGAAGGGCAUUAACCUAAUACGUUAGUGUCUUGACGUUACCGACAGAAUAAGCACCGGCUAACUCUGUGCCAGCAGCCGCGGUAAUACGGAGGGUGCAAGCGUUAAUCGGAAUUACUGGGCGUAAAGCGCGCGUAGGUGGUUUGUUAAGUUGAAUGUGAAAUCCCCGGGCUCAACCUGGGAACUGCAUCCAAAACUGGCAAGCUAGAGUAUGGUAGAGGGUAGUGGAAUUUCCUGUGUAGCGGUGAAAUGCGUAGAUAUAGGAAGGAA
rnacentral:rRNA from 1 species